GAACGCUGGCGGCGUGCUUAACACAUGCAAGUCGAACGGUAAGGCCCUUCGGGGUACACGAGUGGCGAACGGGUGAGUAACACGUGGGUGAUCUGCCCUGCACUUCGGGAUAAGCCUGGGAAACUGGGUCUAAUACCGGAUAGGACCAUGGACUUCACGGUUUGUGGUGGAAAGCUUUUGCGGUGUGGGAUGGGCCCGCGGCCUAUCAGCUUGUUGGUGGGGUAAUGGCCUACCAAGGCGACGACGGGUAGCCGGCCUGAGAGGGUGUCCGGCCACACUGGGACUGAGAUACGGCCCAGACUCCUACGGGAGGCAGCAGUGGGAAUAUUGCACAAUGGGCGCAAGCCUGAUGCAGCGACGCCGCGUGAGGGAUGACGGCCUUCGGGUUGUAAACCUCUUUCAAUAGGGACGAAGCGCAAGUGACGGUACCUAUAGAAGAAGCACCGGCCAACUACGUG
rnacentral:rRNA from 1 species